rnacentral:rRNA from 1 species
AUUGAACGCUGGCGGCAGGCCUAACACAUGCAAGUCGAACGGUAACAGGAAGAAGCUUGCUUCUUUGCUGACGAGUGGCGGACGGGUGAGUAAUGUCUGGGAAACUGCCUGAUGGAGGGGGAUAACUACUGGAAACGGUAGCUAAUACCGCAUAACGUCGCAAGACCAAAGAGGGGGACCUUCGGGCCUCUUGCCAUCGGAUGUGCCCAGAUGGGAUUAGCUAGUAGGUGGGGUAACGGCUCACCUAGGCGACGAUCCCUAGCUGGUCUGAGAGGAUGACCAGCCACACUGGAACUGAGACACGGUCCAAGCUCCUACGGGAGGCAGCAGUGGGGAAUAUUGCACAAUGGGCGCAAGCCUGAUGCAGCCAUGCCGCGUGUAUGAAGAAGGCCUUCGGGUUGUAAAGUACUUUCAGCGGGGAGGAAGGGAGUAAAGUUAAUACCUUUGCUCAUUGACGUUACCCGCAGAAGAAGCACCGGCUAACUCCGUG